UUAUCCUUUCCACUCUCCGCGCCCCCUAGUUCCCUCUCGCCCGCCUCCAAUCCACCACUUCCUCGUCAAUGUAGCAACGGAAGGAGCUCCCCCUCAUCUUCAGUUUUGGGAUGAGGAGAAGCAGAAGAAGCCAGAUCCCCUGGCUCCCGUUUGGAACUUGUAUGACGUGUCCAUGGGCGAGGGCCAGAAGCAGGACGUGGAAAAGGACGUGCCGAGGCCCGCAAUGCCGCCGACGCAUGGCCGGCCUGGGACGAGAGCGUCGAGGCGAGUUUUCGGGCCAUCGACGCCAGUAUUCCAUGCCGCCCCCGCUGGGGAAUCCAGCCGUGGCGGCAACUGAACGGGGACUGUUGGACUAAGCUUCACGCACAGUUGUUGAUGCUUCACGUAAGAAUGGCGUCAAGAUGAUGGAUCUGUUUACUUUUGCCACCCAGGAAGAAUUUGAAGUGAAGUUCGGCGCCUUUUGUUGUUGUUUGUGUGUUUGGGCGGUUUGAUCUGGGUGGAUGUGCGCUUGUUCAAUUUGUGCUCGGGCCAAGACUUUACUUCGUUCGUCUGAGUUUGUGUGUACCGUGUGUAACCCCAACUGGGAAGUUAUGUUUUACCUAGCGAACCAAGUUAAUGUAUUUGUAUUAGUAGAAGGCAUGCAUGAACAUGAUCUGUGGUGACAGUAACUUAUGACGGUAGACUUCAGUGGUUGAAUUCGAAGCCUGAGUGUUGCGGUAGCAAGUGCACAGCCGCCAACAUAAUGCAGCCGUGCUUAUCGCCGGCCACGGCAUAAUAACGGUA